rnacentral:rRNA from 1 species
CCCUUAGAUGUCCUGGGCCGCACGCGCGCUACACUGAGUGUCUGAGAUACGAGUCUGCCUGGUCCGGCAAGGUCUAGGUAAUCGCUAAAAGACACAUCAUGCUUGGGAUAGAUUAUUGCAAAUAUUAAUCUUGAACGAGGAAUUCCUAGUAAGCGCAAGUCAACAGCUUGCGUUGAUUACGUCCCUGCCCUUUGUACACACCGCCCGUCGCUACUACUGACUGGAUGUUUAAGCGAGGUUCUCGAACUGCUAGCGACUUAGCUUCGGUGAGGUCGCAGUGUGGGAAGUGAACCUAGCUUUGGUGUCUAGAGGAAGUAAAAGUCGUAACA